rnacentral:lncRNA from 1 species
AUGGGGCAGACAGCGUCAGAGGCAGUCACAGGAGAGGCAGGGGCGGGCGGGGGAUGCAGCCCAGGAGAAAGGCAAUUCCAGACCUCCGCCUGCACACACGCUGACGGGGAAGCAAAGGCCAACCUGCCGCCAAGACCUCCCCGCGGUCAGCAGCCGCCCGCCCGCCCGCCCGCCCGCCUCACCGCCCCCUGCGGCCUCAGCCACGCUAGGCCUGAGCCGAGCAGCUCUGAGGGCGGCUGGCGAGGCAAAGCACCAGCCCCCAGCCCCCAGGGCUGGACAGCUCCGCCAGGCGCUUCUCCCGCUGCCGCCCAAAGUCCCGUUUCCCUACACACACACCGCUCAGUCCUAGCUCACCUGCCUCCUGCGAGCAACCCCAACCGCCAGCGCCGCCGCCGCCGCCGCCGCCACCUUCCCAGUCCUUCCGCAGAGAGCCCGCCCUCUCGGGCCCAAACAGUACUGCCAUUGGCCAGACCGCCCGUCAUACCGCAGGGGGAGGCGGUGACGAACGCCAUAGCAACCGAACCAGGAACUCCAACUCCCGGCAUGCUCCUCUCCUCAGAGAGGCGAGGCACCACCCCGGGGACCACCAAUAAAUGGGAGAAGUUGGGUGUUGCCGAGAUGGGGUUCCGUUUUAUGCAAAUGACAGUAAAAGGCCACACCCUUCCUCAUUCCAGCCGUACCCCCUACCACCCUGCCUCAGUCUUUGUCUCUCCUCGCCUGUCGUCUCCACGUCCUUUCUGCAAAACCCUUCAAUUUAGUUCAGUGUGUCCUAGCUACUGUCGAGGAGCAAAGCACCAAACCGUGAGACAAAAUCUUCACACGCACAAGAGAGGAGAGAGAGAGAGAGACAGAGACAGACAGACAGACACAGAGAGGGGGGAGAAAAAAAAAAAAAGAAAGCCCUCCGACCCACUUGAUUGGCUUCCCUGGCUGCCACUCCGUACACCUCUAUUUCCUUUGGCUCUUCCCAUGCUUGCCCACCCAGUGGGCGUGGUCACGUGUAGAGGCCGGCGAGGGGCGUGGCCUCCGAGGCCGAUUGGCAGGCGGUUGUGCCCGCCCACAGUGGGCGGGGCGGCGGGCUGGCUGUGGGCGGGGGCGGGGGGCGGGGGCGGCGGAGGGAGAUGA